rnacentral:rRNA from 1 species
GUCCACGCCGUAAACGAUGAAUGCCAGCCGUUAGUGGGUUUACUCACUAGUGGCGCAGCUAACGCUUUAAGCAUUCCGCCUGGGGAGUACGGUCGCAAGAUUAAAACUCAAAGGAAUUGACGGGGCCCGCACAAGCGGUGGAGCAUGUGGUUUAAUUCGACGCAACGCGCAGAACCUUACCAGCCCUUGACAUCCCGGUCGCGGACUCCGGAGACGGAGUUCUUCAGUUCGGCUGGACCGGAGACAGGUGCUGCAUGGCUGUCGU